rnacentral:rRNA from 1 species
GGAUCAGAUUGUCGGUCGUGCCUCGGUACACACUGGCAUUAUUGGUUCCUACCUUCUGAAGAACCGCGAUGUCAUUAAUUUGGUGUCGUGGGGAAUCAGGACUGUUACUUUGAAAAAAUUAGAGUGUUUAAAGCAAGCGCACGCUUGAAUACAUUAGCAUGGAAUAAUGAAAUAGGACGUUUGAUUCUAUUUUGUUGGUUUCUAGGAUCGACGUAAUGAUUAAUAGGGAUAGUUGGGC